CAUUUUUUGUGUUUUGUAUUUUUAUUUUGUGCUUCUGCCUCGAAAGAAAUAAGUUCCCAAAUUGCUGAACUAUUCCUUUAAACUGUGACAAAAACCUCAGAACAACAACUGUGGCGGCAGUAAAGGAGUCACAGUGAAAAGUUGUAUUAGUGUGGGAUUAUGAGCAGUUACAAGCUGUCUGAUGGUCAGAAGUGAGCAGAAACAGCUUCAGCAUGCAGUUGUUGAAAUGUAAGCAUGAAGCAACAAUUCACAAAAGUGAAUAUGAACCGGGUUUUUCUUUUUCUUGAAGAAGCAAACAUCAAGAACACCAAGAAGCAACACAACCUAUUUUAGACCAGGUGCAGGCACGGUGAGAGCUGGUAUAUAAAGAGUUUGACUGAGUUUGUAAAGGAGCUCAAGUGUCUCAUUUAUUUCCCAGGAUUUGGCUCCCAGGAUACCUUCUAUCUGCUCACAUGACCACUCUAACCUCUGAGCCUCCCUCCCACUCCCAUAUAUGUCUGCGUUUAAACCAAGUGGAAGAACAACGCUUAAGUUCCCCUCUUCCACUUGUCUGUUGUGAACUUUAAGCCAGAUAAACAGCAGACUCUCUGUGACAAAUGGCAAAAGCCCUGUGGUGAACCACCGACCAUUAAAAUGAAAUAGGUAAAUGAAAUCAACCCAUGUGGGUGCUGACCUAAGAGGACCAUAAGCCAUGUGUGGCCUUUAGGUACGCCAUAACACUAACUGCCUUUUGCUUCUAGUGCUCUUCUACCUCUAAUCUGUCAGCAUUAUAUAACUGACAGGGAGAUGUGUAUCAGGCAGCGCUGUAUUGUGUUGUUAACUGGCUGGCAGUCUCUGAGGUCGCCUCAAGGGGACGUCUGCGGACCGUUACCGGAGCGAAUGUACGUUUUAACCGGCUACACCAGCUGCGCACACACGGCGUAGGAUUGUGUGAGUCACAGGCGAAACGCUGAGCUUCUGCUUUUGGGAAAAACCGAAACUCUCAAAAUAAAAACUGCCAAUACGCUCAUUCGCAGUCAUUAAGUCGUUUCCUGUAUAUCUGUAGUUUAUUUUAAAAGUAAUGACACUUUAUGAUCCAUUUCUGUGUCAAAAAGGGCCGCACUCACCUCGCGUAAAAUACAUAAAUAAAAGACUGUCCUAUUUUUACGCUUGUAGAGCGGAUCUCCGCGGAGCAUACGCACCACUACGCUGCUCUCUGCUCGGUGUCUCCAGUUCCAUUGAUUAUAGUGAAAGCGUAGCUUGAAAAAUCCGACUCCGUG